rnacentral:rRNA from 1 species
GGUUAAGUUAGAAAGGGCGCACGGUGGAUGCCUUGACACUAGGAGUCGAUGAAGGACGGGACUAACGCCGAUAUGCUUCGGGGAGCUGUAAGUAAGCUUUGAUCCGAAGAUUUCCGAAUGGGGAAACCCACUAUACGUAAUGGUAUGGUAUCCUUACCUGAAUACAUAGGGUAUGGAAGACAGACCCAGGGAACUGAAACAUCUAAGUACCUGGAGGAAGAGAAAGCAAAUGCGAUUUCCUGAGUAGCGGCGAGCGAAACGGAAUCU